CAGCUAUCUGGGAUUUUAACAUAUCUAAAGAAGGAUUGUGUCAUUCCAAGCCAACUAGAUUAUUCCCGGAAUCUUGGAAAACAGGAACUGCAGAGGUCUAUGGGUUCUUGGCCCCAGACCUGGGAGAUUUAAGGUGAGGAGAGAUGGAUGCUCUGGGAUGUGUUAAUUCAACCUACUAAGCUUUCAGGUCACUGUACCUUCGACUCUCGCAGAUUCUACUGUACCUUUCCAUGGGCAGGAAAUCAGAGAAAUCAAAGGCGGCCAAUGAGAGGGCAGCGUGCAGGCCUCCUCUGCUCAGAAGCCAGCUGUGGUGAGAAGGCUGGCAGCUGUGGGUGUGGAGCCAAGUCACAUGGAGGCCAGUCAAGUGAACAGGGGAUGUCACACUGGAGAAGCACACAAAAGUCCUCUUUACACAAUCGAAGGGCUGUCGUGGGGCAGAGGACUCAAGGU
rnacentral:lncRNA from 1 species